rnacentral:siRNA from 1 species
ACAAAAUGGCUGCAAAAUGUA